AUGAAGGCCUUCGGGUUGUAAACUGCUUUGUACGGAACGAAACGGCUCCUUUUAAUACGAGGGGCUAAUGACGGUACCGUAAGAAUAAGCACCGGCUAACUACGUGC
rnacentral:rRNA from 1 species